AACGAACGCUGGCGGCAGGCCUAACACAUGCAAGUCGAACGCCGUAGCAAUACGGAGUGGCAGACGGGUGAGUAACACGUGGGAACGUACCCUUCGGUUCGGAAUAACUCAGGGAAACUUGAGCUAAUACCGGAUACGUCCGAGAGGAGAAAGGUUUAUCGCCGAGGGAUCGGCCCGCGUCUGAUUAGCUUGUUGGUGAGGUAACGGCUCACCAAGGCGACGAUCAGUAGCUGGUCUGAGAGGAUGAUCAGCCACAUUGGGACUGAGACACGGCCCAAACUCCUACGGGAGGCAGCAGUGGGGAAUAUUGGACAAUGGGCGCAAGCCUGAUCCAGCCAUGCCGCGUGAGUGAUGAGGGCCCUAGGGUUGUAAAGCUCUUUUACCCGGGAAGAUAAUGACUGUACCGGGAGAAUAAGCCCCGGCUAACUUCGUGCCAGCAGCCGCGGU
rnacentral:rRNA from 1 species